CCUUUAUACUGUGAAACUGCGAAUGGCUCAUUAAAUCAGUUAUCGUUUAUUUGAUAGUACCUUACUACAUGGAUACCUGUGGUAAUUCUAGAGCUAAUACAUGCUAAAAACCCCGACUUCAGGAAGGGGUGUAUUUAUUAGAUAAAAAACCAACGCCCUUCGGGGCUCCUUGGUGAAUCAUAAUAACUUAACGAAUCGCAUGGCCUUGCGCCGGCGAUGGUUCAUUCAAAUUUCUGCCCUAUCAACUUUCGAUGGUAGGAUAGUGGCCUACCAUGGUGGCAACGGGUAACGGGGAAUUAGGGUUCGAUUCCGGAGAGGGAGCCUGAGAAACGGCUACCACAUCCAAGGAAGGCAGCAGGCGCGCAAAUUACCCAAUCCCGAUACGGGGAGGUAGUGACAAUAAAUACUGAUACGGGGCUCUUUCGGGUCUCGUAAUUGGAAUGAGAACAAUUUAAAUCCCUUAACGAGGAACAAUUGGAGGGCAAGUCUGGUGCCAGCAGCCGCGGUAAUUCCAGCUCCAAUAGCGUAUAUUAAAGUUGUUGCAGUUAAAAAGCUCGUAGUUGAACCUUGGGUCUGGCUGGCCGGUCCGCCUCACCGCGAGUACUGGUCCGGCUGGACCUUUCCUUCUGGGGAACCUCAUGGCCUUCACUGGCUGUGGGGGGAACCAGGACUUUUACUGUGAAAAAAUUAGAGUGUUCAAAGCAGGCCUUUGCUCGAAUACAUUAGCAUGGAAUAAUAGAAUAGGACGUGCGGUUCUAUUUUGUUGGUUUCUAGGACCGCCGUAAUGAUUAAUAGGGAUAGUCGGGGGCGUCAGUAUUCCGCUGUCAGAGGUGAAAUUCUUGGAUUUGCGGAAGACUAACUACUGCGAAAGCAUUCGCCAAGGAUGUUUUCAUUAAUCAGGGAACGAAAGUUAGGGGAUCGAAGACGAUCAGAUACCGUCGUAGUCUUAACCAUAAACUAUGCCGACUAGGGAUCGGACGGGAUUCUAUGAUGACCCGUUCGGCACCUUCGAGAAAUCAAAGUUUUUGGGUUCUGGGGGGAGUAUGGUCGCAAGGCUGAAACUUAAAGAAAUUGAACGGAAGGGCACCACAAGGCGUGGAGCCUGGCGGCUUAAUUUGACUCAACACGGGGAAACUCACCAGGUCCAGACAAAAUAAGGAUUGACAGAUUGAGAGCUCUUUCUUGAUCUUUUGGAUGGUGGUGCAUGGCCGUUCUUAGUUGGUGGAGUGAUUUGUCUGCUUAAUUGCGAUAACGAACGAGACCUCGGCCCUUAAAUAGCCCGGUCCGCAUUUGCGGGCCGCUGGCUUCUUAGGGGGACUAUCGGCUCAAGCCGAUGGAAGUGCGGCGGCAAUUAACAGGUCUGUGAUGCCCUUAGAUGUUCUGGGCCGCACGCGCGCUACACUGACAGGGCCAGCGAGUACAUCACCUUGGCCGAGAGGUCUGGGUUAAUCUUGUUAAACCCUGUUCGUGCUGGGGAUAGAGCAUUGCAAUUAUUGCUCUUCAACGAGGAAGCCUAGUAGGC
rnacentral:rRNA from 1 species